GCGAACGCUGGCGGCAGGCUUAACACAUGCAAGUCGAGCGGGCAUAGCAAUAUGUCAGCGGCAGACGGGUGAGUAACGCGUGGGAACGUACCUUUUGGUUCGGAACAACUGAGGGAAACUUCAGCUAAUACCGGAUAAGCCCUUACGGGGAAAGAUUUAUCGCCGAAAGAUCGGCCCGCGUCUGAUUAGCUAGUUGGUGAGGUAAUGGCUCACCAAGGCGACGAUCAGUAGCUGGUCUGAGAGGAUGAUCAGCCACAUUGGGACUGGGACACGGCCCAAACUCCUACGGGAGGCAGCAGUGGGGAAUAUUGGACAAUGGGCGCAAGCCUGAUCCAGCCAUGCCGCGUGAGUGAUGAAGGCCCUAGGGUUGUAAAGCUCUUUUGUGCGGGAAGAUAAUGACGGUACCGCAAGAAUAAGCCCCGGCUAACUUCGUG
rnacentral:rRNA from 1 species